rnacentral:rRNA from 1 species
UCGGGAAUAUUGCGCAAUGGAGGAAACUCUGACGCAGUGACGCCGCGUGCAGGAAGAAGGUUUUCGGAUUGUAAACUGCUUUAGACAGGGAAGAUACAAGACAGUACCUGUAGAAUAAGCUCCGGCUAACUACGUGCC